UAUGUGAUCGUCUCUCGCAUAUCAAUAAGCGGAGGAAAAGAAACUAACAAGGAUUCCCCUAGUAACGGCGAGUGAAGGCGGGAAGAGCUCAAAUUUGAAAUCUUAAAGGGUUUCCCUUUACGAAUUGUAGUCUAAAGAAGUGUUUUCUGUUGAGGUCUUGGUAAAAGUUCUUUGGAAUAGGACAUCAUAGAGGGUGAGAAUCCCGUAUUUGACCUUUACUUUCAACUUUGUGAUACACUUUCAAAGAGUCGGAUUGUUUGGGAAUGCAGUCCAAAAUGGGUGGUAAAUUUCAUCUAAAGCUAAAUAUUGGCGAGAGACCGAUAGCGAACAAGUACCGUGAGGGAAAGAUGAAAAGAACUUUGAAAAGAGAGUUAAACAGUACGUGAAAUUGUCAAAAGGGAAGCGUUUGACACCAGUGUUGUUUUUCUGAAAAUCAAUUAAAGAACUGUUUAUGCUAAGCUGUUUAGACUUUAUCAGCUAUCUGUUUAGUUUUGAGCUUUUCUUUAAUGCACUUUUCAGUUAACAAGUCAACAUCAAUUUCUUUUGCUGUAAAAAAGCUUGAGGAAGGUGGCUUGAGAUUCGUCUUAAGUGUUUAUAGCCUCUUGCCUAUGCAGUCGGAGAGAUUGAGGUCUGCAGCGUAGAUCCUUCGGGGCUAAAUGCAUUUGUGCUAAGUUAUAGCAUUUUAUAGACAACUUGUUGACUAUGAUUUGUCUUGUAGCUUACUCGCUUAUGUUAUUUUACCUACGCUUAGGAUGUUGAGUAGCGACAUACGCAC
rnacentral:rRNA from 1 species